rnacentral:tRNA from 1 species
GAUUCCAUAGCUCAAUUGGAUAGAGCAAUUGCCUACGAAGCACUAGAUAAAGGUUCGAGUCCUUUUGGGAUCA